rnacentral:lncRNA from 1 species
AAAAAAUAUUGACAUAAAAAGUAAAGAAAAUUAUAAAUAAUUAAAAAUGUUUGACGAAACGACUGAUUCACAAUAUACGUUAAAUGUAAGCACAUCAUUAAAUAAUAAUUUUCAAAAAGAAAAUUCGAAUAAAAACAAUGGUUAUAUUAUAGAUACGACAACAGAAGAAAAGAUGACAAUUUCAAAUGAUUCUAGUAGUAUAUUAAAUAUGGGAAAAAACAAUAAUCUUCAUAAGUCAAAUUGUAAUAAUGAUAAAAAUUUAGAAGAUAUUGAUAUGUUAUGUAAAUAUAAAGAUUACAUAAAUAAUGACGAUAAAAAGCAAUCGACUUUUUUAAACAUACAAAAUGAUAUUCCUAUAGAAAAAAAUGGUACAAAUUAAAAAAAAAAAAAAAAAAAAUUUUCUCAUAUAUAUAUAUAUAUAUAUAUAUAUACAUAUAUGUGUGUAUGUAAAAUAGUAUCAUAAAAAAAAAAGGGAAUCACCUAUUUUGUAAAUGUACAUAUAAGUAUAUAUGCAUAAAUACAUAUAUCAACAAAUUGUCUUUUGCAGAAACUUAUUUCGAAUUGAACGAUGUUGAUAUCGAUAAUAUUGAAGUAAAAUAUGGAUCAAUUAAAAAAAGAUUAUACAAAGCAUUAGUCGUUCGGAUAAUAUACGCUUUAAUAUAUGGUAUAUUUUGUGUGAUAUUGCAAUGCUAUUUUAUAAUAUUAAGUGAUACUUAUUAUAAAACAGGCGAACCUCCAUUAAAAGAUAGAAUACAUGAAAUAUUUUAUGUAAAACCAUCUUUUAUGACUACUUCAUUCGUUAACAAUCAUAUAUCAUUUUUUUUUAUUAUCACGAUGCUAAGGUUUGGUUUGUUUUUUCCGUUUUUAUUAUCUAUAAGUAUGUUUAUAAGAAUUACAAUUAUGUUUUCAACUACAUAUUUAAUAAGAACAAUAUUUAUAUAUGUAACUACACUACCAUGUCCCGUUCCUACUUGUGUGCCUCUAGAAAAUAAAAGUAUAUUGGAUAACCUAUACUCGAUAUAUCUUAUAAUUACAGCUCAAGUAUAUGAAUGUACAGAUUUAAUUAUCUCGGGACAUACUGCUUUUACAACUAUAUUAAAGUUUGUGUGGUUAUUUUAUGAAAAACGAACUUACUUAAAAGCACUCAUAUUUUUUUUUACUUUAUAUAUAUUUGCAAUAAUAAUCAUAUCAAGAUUUCAUUACACAGUUGAUGUUUUAAUGGGAUACGUGUUUGGAUCACUUAUUUUUUUGACUUACCACUUCACAUUAGAUACGGCCGUUAAACGAUAUGCACUGAAUAAAACUUUUAAAAUUAUGAAAACUGAAUAUUCAAUAUCAUUUUUUGAUAGAAGUGUAAUUUUUAACUUCUUCAUUCGAAUAAUAGCAUAUAUAGAAGCCUUAGAGUGUAAAAUGAAUAUAUCUGCUACGUAUAAUAAGGCAUGGGUGGGUCAUAAAUAACAUUACACAUAUAUAUAUAUAUAUACAUACGUGCACAUAUGCAGAUACACACAUUUAACAAAUUUUUUUUUUUUUUUUUUUUUUUUUUAGAAAUCCUUUUGCUCUUGCAAUCCAGUGAACUCAGAAAGUCUUGUAAUUUAUAAAAAAAACGAGAAUAAUGAACAACUACACUAUUUUAGUAAUCAUUUCUAUCACUCAUAUGCAGGGAAUGGUUCCUUUGAUUUAACGACGAUACGUUAUAUAAAAAAUAAAAUUAUGAUUUUGUUUGGUAUAAGGGAAAAG